GACGAACGCUGGCGGCGUGCUUAACACAUGCAAGUCGAACGGAAAGGCCCUGCUUGUGUGGGGUGCUCGAGUGGCGAACGGGUGAGUAACACGUGAGUAACCUGCCCGUGACUUUGGGAUAACUUCAGGAAACUGGGGCUAAUACCGGAUAGGAGCUCCUGCUGCAUGGUGGGGGUUGGAAAGUUUCGGCGGUUGGGGAUGGACUCGCGGCUUAUCAGCUUGUUGGUGGGGUAGUGGCUUACCAAGGCUUUGACGGGUAGCCGGCCUGAGAGGGUGAACGGCCACAUUGGGACUGAGAUACGGCCGAGACUCAUACGGGCGGCAGCAGGCGGGAAUAUUGCACAAUGGGCGGAAGCCUGAUGCAGCAACGCAGCGUGCGGGAUGACGGCCUUCGGGUUGUACACCGCUUUCGCCUGUGACGAAGCGUGAGUGACGGUAAUGGGUAAAGAAGCACCGGCUAACUACGUG
rnacentral:rRNA from 1 species